rnacentral:rRNA from 1 species
AGCUAGUUGGUGGGGUAAAAGCUCACCAAGGCGACGAUCUGUAGCGGGUCUGAGAGGAUGAUCCGCCACACUGGAACUGAGACACGGUCCAGACUCCUACGGGAGGCAGCAGUGGGGAAUUUUGGACAAUGGGGGCAACCCUGAUCCAGCCAUGCCGCGUGAGUGAAGAAGGCCUUCGGGUUGUAAAGCUCUUUCAGCCGGGAAGAAAACGCAUUGGUUAAUACCUGAUGUGGAUGACGGUACCGGAAUAAGAAGCACCGGCUAACUACGUGCCAGCAGCCGCGGUAAUACGUAGGGUGCGAGCGUUAAUCGGAAUUACUGGGCGUAAAGCGUGCGCAGGCGGUUUUGUAAGAUAGGCGUGAAAUCCCCGGGCUUAACCUGGGAACUGCGUUUAUGACUGCAAAGCUAGAGUACGGCAGAGGGGGGUGGAAUUCCACGUGUAGCAGUGAAAUGCGUAGAGAUGUGGAGGAACACCAAUGGCGAAGGCAGCCCCCUGGGUCGAUACUGACGCUCAUGCACGAAAGCGUGGGUAGCAAACAGGAUUAGAUACCCUGGUAGUCCACGCCCUAAACGAUGUCAACUAGGUGUUGGGAGGGUAAAACCUUUUAGUACCGGAGCUAACGCGUGAAGUUGACCGCCUGGGGAGUACGGCCGCAAGGUUAAAACUCAAAGGAAUUGACGGGGACCCGCACAAGCGGUGGAUGAUGUGGAUUAAUUCGAUGCAACGCGAAAAACCUUACCUACCCUUGACAUGUCAGGAACUUGCCAGAGAUGGCUUGGUGCUCGAAAGAGAACCUGAACACAGGUGCUGCAUGGCUGUCGUCAGCUCGUGUCGUGAGAUGUUGGGUUAAGUCCCGCAACGAGCGCAACCCUUGUCGUUAAUUGCCAUCAUUUAGUUGGGCACUUUAACGAGACUGCCGGUGACAAACCGGAGGAAGGUGGGGAUGACGUCAAGUCCUCAUGGCCCUUAUGGGUAGGGCUUCACACGUCAUACAAUGGUCGGUACAAAGGGUCGCCAACCCGCGAGGGGGAGCCAAUCCCAGAAAGCCGAUCGUAGUCCGGAUUGCAGGCUGCAACUCGCCUGCAUGAAGUCGGAAUCGCUAGUAAUCGUGGAUCAGCAUGUCACGGUGAAUACGUUCCCGGGUCUUGUACACACCGCCCGUCACACCAUGGGAGCGGGUUCCGCCAGAAGUAGGUAGCCUAACCGCAAGGAGGGCGCUUACCACGGCGGGGUUCGUGACUGGGGUGAAGUCGGAACAAGGUAGCCGUAGGGGAACCUGCGGCUG